UAUGUAUGAAGAUAUACUGAUAAAGAAUUAUUCUAUUAUUGCAAACUGGCCUUAUUCUCUUUGCUAUUGCAUUUAAGGCCUGAUAAACAUACAUGUGUGUGUCUGUGUGUAUGUGUGUAUGUGUAUGUAAUGGUCAAGUGUUCGCAGGCCGACAUUUCACAUUCCUAA
rnacentral:sRNA from 1 species